rnacentral:sRNA from 10 species
CUGUUUUAUUCGACUGACCGCGAGUGAUAUUGCCUUUCGGACAGUGAAAUGAUGCCUUGCUUCGUGAUAUUGCCU